UGUGUGUGUGUGUGUGUGUGUGUGUGUGUGUGUGUGUACGCGCACGCACGCGCGCGCACACACACACA